rnacentral:rRNA from 1 species
AUACGUAGGUGGCAAGCGUUGUCUGGAUUUACUGGGUGUAAAGGGCGUGUAGGCGGAGAUGCAAGUCAGGAGUGAAAUCUAGGGGCUCAACCCCUAAACUGCUUUUGAAACUGUAUCCCUUGAGUAUCGGAGAGGCAGGAGGAGAUUCUCGCGUAGCGGUGAAAUGCGUAGAUAUUAGGAGGAACACCAGUGGCGAAGGCGGCCUGCUGGACGACAACUGACGCUGAGGCGCGAAAGCGUGGGGAGCAAACAGGAUUAGAUACCCUGGUAGUCCACGCUGUAAACGAUGAAUACUAGGUGUGGGGGGACUGACCCCCUCCGUGCCGCAGUUAACACAAUAAGUAUUCCACCUGGGGAGUACGAUCGCAAGAUUGAAACUCAAAUGAAUGGACGGGG